rnacentral:rRNA from 1 species
GUACACUCCUGCGGGAGGCAGCAGUGGGGAAUUUUGGACAAUGGGCGAAAGCCUGAUCCAGCCAUGCCGCGUGCAGGAUGAAGGCCUUCGGGUUGUAAACUGCUUUUGUACGGAACGAAACGGCCUUUUCUAAUAAAGAGGGCUAAUGACGGUACCGUAAGAAUAAGCACCGGCUAACUACGUGCCAGCAGCCGCGGUAAUACGUAGGGUGCAAGCGUUAAUCGGAAUUACUGGGCGUAAAGCGUGCGCAGGCGGUUAUGUAAGACAGUUGUGAAAUCCCCGGGCUCAACCUGGGAACUGCAUCUGUGACUGCAUAGCUAGAGUACGGUAGAGGGUGAUGGAAUUCCGCGUGUAGCAGUGAAAUGCGUAGAUAUGCGGAGGAACACCGAUGGCGAAGGCAAUCCCCUGGACCUGUACUGACGCUCAUGCACGAAAGCGUGGGGAGCAAACAGGAUUAGAAACCCUAGUAGUCCCA